rnacentral:misc_RNA from 1 species
AACCUUAUGGACCUGCGGGCGUAUACCUGCGGAGGGAUCAUUAAUAAAUGUUACUUCGGUAACUUAAUUAAUCCCUAACACCUGUGCAUCUUGUCGCUUCGGCGUCAUUUUAUAAACAUCAGUGUAAUGAAUGUAACGUAUUAUAACAAAUACAACUUUUAGCAAUGGAUCU